GAGGGUAUAGUUCAAGUGGUAGAGCGCACGCUUAGCAUGCAUGAGGUCCUAGGUUCAAUCCCCAGUGACUCCU
rnacentral:tRNA from 1 species